rnacentral:rRNA from 1 species
AGGCACCACUGCGGAAUGUUGCCCAAUGCGCGCAAGCCUGAUGCAGCCAUGCCGCGUGUAUGAAGAAGGCCUUCGGGUUGUAAAGUACUUUCAGCGGGGAGGAAGGGAGUAAACUUAAUACCUUUGCUCAUUGACGUUACCCGCAGAAUAAGCACCGGCUAACUCCGUGCCAGCAGCCGCGGUAAUACGGAGGGUGCAAGCGUUAAUCGGAAUUACUGGGCGUAAAGCGCACGCAGGCGGUUUGUUAAGUCAGAUGUGAAAUCCCCGGGCUCAACCUGGGAACUGGAUUUGAUACUGGCAAGCUUGAGUCUCGUAGAGGGGGGUAGAAUUCCAGGUGUAGCGGUGAAAUGCGUAGAGAUCUGGAGGAAUACCGCGUGGCGAAGGCGGCCCCCUGGACGUAGACUGACGCUCAGGUGCGAAAGCGUGGGGAGCAAACAGGAUUACAUACCCUGGUAGUCCACG